rnacentral:rRNA from 1 species
UACGUAGGGCGCAAGCGUUGUCCGGAAUUAUUGGGCGUAAAGAGCUCGUAGGCGGCUUGUCACGUCGGAUGUGAAAGCCCGGGGCUCAACCCCGGGAGGCGGGUGGAUACUGUCAAGCUCGAGUCCGGAAGAGGAGUGUGGAAUUCCUGGUGUAGCGGUGAAAUGCGCAGAUAUCAGGAGGAACACCAAUGGCGAAGGCAGCACUCUGGGACGUGACUGACGCUGAGACGCGAAAGCGUGGGGAGCAAACAGG